GACGAACGCCGGCGGCGUGCCUAAUACAUGCAAGUAGAACGCACAGUUUAUACCGUAGCUUGCUACACCAUAAACUGUGAGUUGCGAACGGGUGAGUAACGCGUAGGUAACCUGCCUGGUAGCGGGGGAUAACUAUUGGAAACGAUAGCUAAUACCGCAUAAUAUUGAUUAUUGCAUGAUAAUUGAUUGAAAGAUGCAACUGCAUCACUACCAGAUGGACCUGCGUUGUAUUAGCUAGUAGGUGAGGUAACGGCUCACCUAGGCGACGAUACAUAGCCGACCUGAGAGGGUGAUCGGCCACACUGGGACUGAGACACGGCCCAGACUCCUACGGGAGGCAGCAGUAGGGAAUCUUCGGCAAUGGACGAAAGUCUGACCGAGCAACGCCGCGUGAGUGAAGAAGGUUUUCGGAUCGUAAAGCUCUGUUGUAAGAGAAGAACGGGUGUGAGAGUGGAAAGUUCACACUGUGACGGUAUCUUACCAGAAAGGGACGGCUAACUACGUGCCAGCAGCCGCGGUAAUACGUAGGUCCCGAGCGUUGUCCGGAUUUAUUGGGCGUAAAGCGAGCGCAGGCGGUUAGAUAAGUCUGAAGUUAAAGGCUGUGGCUUAACCAUAGUACGCUUUGGAAACUGUUUAACUUGAGUGCAGAAGGGGAGAGUGGAAUUCCAUGUGUAGCGGUGAAAUGCGUAGAUAUAUGGAGGAACACCGGUGGCGAAAGCGGCUCUCUGGUCUGUAACUGACGCUGAGGCUCGAAAGCGUGGGGAGCGAACAGG
rnacentral:rRNA from 1 species